CAACUACUCCCUCCGUUCCAUAAUUCUUGUCGAAAUAUUACAUAUAUCUAGACACCUUUUAGGAAUAGAUACAUUCAUUUUUGGGCAAAUUUGAGACAAGAAUUAUGAGACGGAGGUAGUAGAUU
rnacentral:pre_miRNA from 1 species